UUUGACAGUGUUUGACAUUUCUUCGACCGCGUCGCAGAACUCGCUUUUCUUCUGGUUGCCGGUAAUUAAGUGCAUCGAAAUUUUCGUAACCCGAUUUUGGGGGCUCACCACAUUUCCACAGGUCUUUUAUUUUGUGGCUUCUUGUGUACAGGGCUAUAAAGCCCUGUGGAUAACCGCCUUGCGGGAUUUAUUAGGCACCAGAGGUCUGUACUUGUAUUCUUGUUUUUGCUGCUUUAACCUCAUCUACUUCAUCCAUAUCCAGUGGCUUGGAACAGCUCUUCCUAGACUGCUGGUACCUAUGGCCUAGUCCUGUAGGUGUCAACCAUGGAGUCUAUUCAGACCAAAUGGACCCUGCUGCAAGUCAGGUAUUCCUUUCAGGAAUGGGGACCUCAGGUAUUAAUUUUGUCGGGUCGCACAUGCAAUUCAUACAUUUUUAUGAACCAUAUUCAUUGUCACUGAUUAUUGAUUGAAUUUAAUUGAUUUUUUAAAUCUGUAAUUAAAAACCGAGUAUAUACAUAUACCGGGUGGUGCAUUGCCAAGCUGGCCAUAGGAAAUCCCAUAUAAAUGAUGAUAUUUUCAAGUAUUGGUUCCCCUGUAUAAUAUAUUACAGAAAAACUGUA